AAAAGAGGGAGGGAGAGAAGACGAAAGCGGGACUGGAGAGAGGCAGGCUAUCUUUGAUCAUGAGAUAAGUAAUAGAGAGCUGACUGAGUAAAGCUGGAGACAGAUGGAGGCCAACAGCACCAUGGCGACUGCUAAAGUGGGUGAUGGCCUGUGACUUCAGUAUUCUCUCCACCGCUGUGCAUUUCUGAACAAGGUCAGCCAGCAGGACGCUGAGAACAUACCUGCUCCAGUGGGAGUUUUGCAGUCCAGGCAGCAUUGAGGAGACUCUUCCUGUGACUUUUAGGGGCAUCUCUCAUCCGCAGAAAGAGCUCCUGUGCGUCCACACCACAGUGCUGACACACACCAUGUUCUGUUGCAAACACCUGGGCUCUCAGGGACUCAUGUUGCCCAGACUAGCUUUGAACUUCCCAUAUAUCUGAGGACCGCCUUGAAUUCCUGAUGGCCACGCCUCCACCUAAGUGAUAAAAUGACAAGUGGGUAACUGGUUUAUUCAGCACUAUGAAGGAACCCAGGGCUUUGUAUGCUAGGGCCAUACUCCACUGCUGCUCCAUGAAGUUAAUGGCCUGACUGGAGAGGAAGGUGGAACUGCCCUGAGGAGUGGCAUCUCUAAGACAUGGGUGAACGCCAUUCCUGCUUAACACAGAGGACUCACUAGAUCCACAGCAGCUUCUCACAUCCAAGCUCUCCUGGUCAAACAGAUGCUAGCGGUCCACAAUC
rnacentral:lncRNA from 1 species